ensembl:lncRNA
CAAGUGCUCAGAAAGAAGCCUUCACGCUCAACACACUUUACGACAACAAAAACAUGAGCCUCACAGCCUUUCCACAGGAAUCCAGCGGUGCUGAGCCGCAGACAAGAAAAGCAGCUGAAGAGCAUUGUAAUACCCGAGCACCGUGCAGAACAAAGAAGAGUGACUAGAAUAGACAUGUUCAGAACAAUCACGCGUAUGCUUUUUGGAAGAGAGGAGGAGACCCCCGAAGAUGUCAAGGCUGGAGACACGAUGGAGGAAGGGUGGCAUGUUGUCACUCAUCAAGAGGCAGGUUCAGCAGAAAACCAGGAUGCAAUGUUGACUGACAGUCAACCAUCCAGCUCUGUUCCUCAAGGAACAGACAUGGAAACUGACUGCAUUGCAGAUGCAGAGCCCGCAGCACAAAGCGGGAGUACCGGGACCAGUGCUCAGUCCGUGUUCAGCUCUUUUUCCAAGCCCAAAGCUAUAGCCAAGAUGACACAGGCUAAGGUUUUGGCAGAGCGGCACCAUGUGUCCCGCAACGCUAUUCAACGCCAGAACCGUGUUCGCCAAGGAGUCCAACACCACUCCUACCACCUCCAACAGCCAGGCUGUCGCAGCCUCAGCCACUGAAUCUCUUCACUACAGAUUGACACUAAAGCAACUGAAUACAGACAAAAAAACCCAAACAAAAACACUUGUAGGCUUUUCCACUUUUCUGCAAAUUAAGCUAAACAUUUAAUCUUUAUGUGCCAACACUAGUUAACUGUUACCAGGCAGCUACAUUAGCCUUUGAACUUGUGCUGUAUCUGAAUUUGAAAUAAAGAAUUUACCUCAUAAAAUGAGAUGCUAGGUUUUUUUUUUGUGUAUGUGCACAGGUAAAUUUAUACAGUGUUAUACUACGCAACAUGUAUUCUUGAACCAAGUGAUAUGUUUUGUUUGACACCAUGCACUUCCCUGUAUGUUGCUGGUUCAGAACCUUUUUUUGAUACAUCAAUAAAAGUAUGAUUUUGCAGCGUUUGUUUCUUUUGUUUAUAGUGAAAUUGCGAUGUCCCACAGACAGUGAACUGCUCACUCUCUCACAGAUGCAAACAGUUGCUCUCAUUAGUUUGGAGGAAAUUGCACCUGCUGUGUUCUGCUCCUGCUGCAGGAGCGCGCUCAGUGGGGAACUGGUGUAAUCAGGAGGUUUACUGUGAAGUUAAGACCUUGUGGUGAUAUGGCGAGGAUGGAGGCGUCGCCUGAAGCAAAACUUAACAAGCAGUCAACACUUGGUUACAAGAGUUUUGG